rnacentral:lncRNA from 1 species
UAGAGAUAUAAAGCCCGGAAAUAUUCUUUUAGAUGCUCAUCUGAAUGGCAAGUUAGGAGACUUCGGCAUGGCGAGGUUAUAUGAUCACGGUAGCAUUCCUUGUACCACUAACCUGGUAGGAACUCUAGGUUAUAUGGCUCCGGAGCUUCUCAGAACUGGAAAGGCAGAUACUAGGACUGAUGUAUUUGCUUUUGGGGUUUGUAUGCUUGAGGUGGCAUGUGGAAGGAGACCUAUAGAGGAUGGAAACAUAAACUUGGUAGAUUGGGUUAUUGAUUGCUGGAAAAGAGAAUGUAUCCUUGAUGUUAUUGAUCCGAGACUGGAGGGUCUUUAUGUCGAGGAGCAAAUGGAGUUGGUAUUGAAAUUAGGCUUGUUUUGUUCACACCCUAACCCAGCAGCCAGGCCUAACAUGCCGCAGUUGAUGCAGUAUCUGGAUAGUGAUGCCAAGUUUCCAGAUACUGCUCUUGAUAGCUUCAUGAUCAGUGUUUCUACUGCUAAUAAUGAAGCUUCAGAAAACGUGAUUUCAUUUCUUGCACUGCUCGGAACCAGUUCUUCUUACACCAUGUCAACCAUUGAUUCAAUCCUUGUAGAAGGUCGUUGAACUUGAGCCCACAUUUUUAAACUCUUUUUGGCUAGUUCACUGAGAGUAUUGAGUUGACAUUAGUGGCAAUCCGAGUUAAGGGUCCAUCUUACGUUACUACAAUUCUUGCUUGUUACUUUCUGUUUGACUUUUUCUUGUGGACUACAAUAGUAUUUAACUGCUCAUUUGCAUAUACUUUUUUUUUUUUGUAAAUUCAUAAAUAAAUAAAUAAGCGUGGGUCUCGGACAAUGUAUAUGUUUUGGCUUGACUAAUAAAUCCUGUGAAUGUACCCCGAUUCAAGCAAGGGCUAAGGUUGUAAUUCUGAUGGUUGCAUAAUGUGAUCCUGACAUUGACUUCGUGUUGGCAUUUAUCAAUUUUGUGAAUCAUUCAGCUCUUAUAAGGGAUCAUUAUUAUUUAAUUGAAAAUUAUCUGUGAACCAACUUAGAUCUCAAAAGUUCGAGGCGCCACUAAAGACUUCUGAUAUGUAUUAUAUUUGCAUGCAGUCACUUUUUAAAUUUCUAACGUUACCACAUUUACACAAUUAGACAAAAAGAUCCCGUAGAACUGAAACAAUGAGUCGUUUAGAGAUAAUUUUAGAAAUUAUUAGUUGCUACUUGUACUUUCAACGUCCAUUCGAAUAGUUUUCCUUGUUCAACUUCCGUAAAUAACGGUCAUUGAAAGCAUGUACAGCAAAUGGAUAUUCCUGCAUUAUUCAAGUAAUAACAAGUCAUAAUCAACGUCUUUGGAACCCCUAACUGAAGAGAGAGAAAAGCAUAAGUAAAAAGUCAGGAAGAAAUUCUUUAAAACUCUUAUUUGAUUUUGUUAAGCAUGGGGAAGAACAUCAAGCAGAAUAACACAAAUAUGAAACAUUAGCAAGUUUCCCUUCGAUUUGAAAGGCCUUUCUGGAAUUGAUAAAGAGAUAAUCUAUGUUAAGUGUCAGCUAAUUACAUUUUUUUUUACCAGUGUAUGAAUGCGCGGAAUAAGACACUGCAAUUUUAGGACAGCUAUGAAUCAAAUUUAGAAUUGAAUUGGAAAUUACAAGCGAUUAAUUCUCUUAGUCACAUGCUGAUCCUUUUUGUUUAAGGGUCAAAUUGCUUGCAUACUGUUUUGCCGAAAUUCCUGAACAAUGAUAUUUUAACUUAAAUUUGAGUCUGAAAUAUUACCUUGGUAGCAUAAAAAGAGAAAAGCAGCAAGGCAAAUCUCUCAAUUGGCCAAAAGCCAACUAGUUUUCCUAUUUUUCUCAAUGGCUCCAGCUCUCAGAUCACUUUGCUUUUGGACAGUUGUCAUCAUAUCCUGGAUUUCCAUGGCCUUGGCUCGAGAUUAAGAUGAACACAAGUUCAUCUACCACGGCUGCAAUGAAUCCGAAAUUUGACAACCUCUACCCAUUUGUUCAUAUGAUAUUUGUAUUGGGUAAUUGAGUCAUGUCAAAUCUUGUCAGCUCUAAUCUAUGUGAAGGUCUGUUUAGUAUGUAUAGUUAAAUAAUCAUAAGUCUCAGACAAGGUCGAGAAGUCACCCUUAAUUUAUCCUUAAAAACCCUUUCCAAAUAAAGAGAUUUGUUAAAAAUUCCACAAAUAACCUUAAAAAUUUUACCACUUUAUAAACCAUGACUAAUAAACUAUUAUAGCUUGAAUCAAUUUUUAUACUCGAUGAUCCCCAUCAUUCUUGCAAAAUGCUACUAUUACACCAAAUUAUGAGAGGUUCAAAAGCCCAAAAAAAAAAUAGGUCUAAUAAAUUUUUUUUUUUUUUAUAUAAAAUGACCUAGGUUUACUCUUGUCCUAGGGACUUAGAAUUCUAAGUGUCCAAAGUCAAGACACGAUAAAUUGCCUAAGAGCAUGAUUCAAUAAAAAAGAUCUACAUUUAUUCUUUACAAAAUGAUCAAAAAGCAAAUCUUCGAUAAAGCACCAAAGUUAUAAUUAAAUAAAAAAUGACAUAGGUACUUAGAAAAUAUUUUUAAGUAAAAUACCUUAAAGGUGAAUUUUCUACAAAGUGUCAAAUGCAUAAUUUUACAAAGAAUGACCUAAAUUCAUUUUUUUUUAUAGAAAUUGAUCCAAGUCCAUUGUUUGUAGAAAAUUAACCUAUGUACUUAGAAAAUACUUCUAAGCGAAAUAUUCAAAAGGCAAAUGUUCGACAAAGUACCACAAAUAUAAUUCUACAAAAAAUUACCUGAUUCCAUUCUUUAUAGAAAAAUAAUUUAGGUACUUAGGAAAUACUUCUAAGUGAAAUGGCUAAAGGCAAAAAUCAAGAAAAUACCAAAGGGCGCCUAGGUACAUAAAAAGUACUUUUAAUAAAGCACCUAAGAGCAGCAUUCUACGGAAUGAACUUACAUGUAAACAUACUUUCUACGGGAAUUAGCCUAUUGGCCAAAAAUACAUUCAAUAGAAUAAGCCUGCAGGUCAACAAAUAUUCUAAGGAAGGUGGCAAUUGGCAGACAUGCAUUAUAAAAAAUAAGCUUACGAGACAAAAAAUAUUUUAUGAAAUGGGCCUACGGGAUAAACUUAUAUUCCAUGAAAUGAGCCUACAUGCCCAAAAAUACAUUUUAGAGAAUGAGCUUAUGAGCCAAACAUUCUACGGAAUGUGCUUGCAGCCAUAAAUAUAUUCUAUGAAAUGAGUUAGGGCCAAAAUGCACCUAUAAGCAAACAAAUAUUCUACGGAAUGAGCCUUUGGGCUAACAUACAUUCUAUGAAAUGCGCCUACAAGCAAAUAAUAUAUGGAAUGAGUUUAUAAACUAACAAAUAUUCGAGUCAACUCAAUUAGAUUUAGUGUUAAUCAAGUUGUGAAAAAAAAUCAUCCAAAUACAAUUCGAACUUGCAAUUCGGUCUAAUUUGAUCCGAACUAAAAAACUUGGGUUGAGUUUGAAUCAAAUCAUAUUUGAAUGCUCUUAUUUUUAAGCAACCAUUAGAGAGGACUUGUUUCUAUUUGUUAUAAACAAAAUCAAAUUCAAAGACAAGUAUUUUUCAGUUUUACAGAAUAAUUUCACUAGAAUACAUUUAGGAUUUGGCAACCCCUUGAACUAUUUUAAUUCACCCUCAAGCCUUCAAUGCUAAUUCUGGGAUCUAUCAACAGAGGUAAGAACUUGAAUUUGGUUACAGCCUGACCCUUCCUUUCAAAGUCAACUUGCUUACUAACUAUCAUUUCCUUCACUAUUUGAAAGCAGUUCUGCUCAUGCCAUUUCUACCAUCGAUAUCAUCCCAUUUGUAGAUGGUUGAAUCAUGUACUUUUCAUUCCUUGGCUAAGUAUUUUAUUCUAUGUUUAUCACUGAGAGAAUCAAGUUGCUGAAGUCAAGCUGCUGAAUAAACACAUAAAUUUCCCUUUUUUUAUAGAAGUGUUGUCCUUUGCUUGAUUAUUAAUUGAUGAAGGGACUAAAAUUUGGUAAAAUGUUUUCACCCCACUAAAUAGAAUCCAUGUUUUAUAAUUUUCAAAAGCUACACACUUCUAAAUUUGGAUAAACGACUUCUUCAUUAUUUGUCAUAUUUCUAUCAUGUUCUGGUGCAGCAAACAGAGAUUCCAUCUUCCACAGCAAAAUGACCAAUGGUUGAUGGCGUAAUAGUGAAGAACAUUUCAACCUUAGAACCAUUCAACAUGACAUGUUUCCAUGAUUUGAAUAUUAUGAUGCUUGUUGCUUCUGCAAACUGGCGUAAUGACUAAACCAUAUAUUGCACAUCUUAUUACCUUAUCUUUUAUCAAGGCAGCAGAUAAAUUCUGACGAAAUGGAAAUAGUUGCUGGAACAAAUUAAAAAACUCUAAAGAGAUAAGAAGCAUCUCCAACCAAUGAUCAGUUCCAAGAGUCGACUGAAAACUUGACACUAGCAGUGGCAGGUACAAAUCAGUGUCUGGAAAAAUGUUUUUGUUUUGAUUUGAGUCAUUUGACUAAAUCCUGUGAAUGUUAGGCUUGAUUCAUGCGCAAUGCUUUCAUUCAGCCAUUACAAAGGAUCAUUGUUAUUUAAUUUUUCAUACAGUAGGUAAGACUUACAGGUCUAACAACCAUUGAUUAGACAUUCUACCGUUUCGUUAUUGGGCUUUGCAACUCAAAACGCAUCUACUUAGUUAGAAAACCCAUAAUUUAUAAAUCAGUCCAAAAACUCAUUUGCUAGUGAUGUGAGAUAUUAUGGUAAUUGUGUCGACACAUAAACUUGAACGGUCAUUGAAAACAACAGCAAUAGAUACAUACUCAAGUAAUAUCAAGUCAUAAUCAACAUCUUUGAAACCCCAAACAUAUGACGGGCAAAAACCGGAAUGUAAGAAAAUGAACGUUUUAUCAGUACUCGUAUUUUCUUUGAUUAAGAGUGUGCAAGAACAAGAAGCAGAAGAAUUGAAUGCAUCAUUAUACUUGAAACAAUUUGUAAAUUUCCCUUCCUUCAAUAUGAAAUUACUACUCAAAUCACCAACAUGGGCCGCAGGGAUCUUUCACAGAUAAUCCAAAUUAAGGGUCCACCUUACAUUUUGUUUGACCGAUGGAUGAAGUGUUGAGUAUAAGACACCUCCACUUCCAGAAAAGCCUUAAUUUUAAAUUAAUCCCACGUUCAUUUGUGGUGUAACGACCAUUUAACUUUUCCAACAUAAUGAGAUGACUAUUAAUAAUCACAUUGAGAACUGAAUUGGAAAUUGCAUGUGGAAUUCUCUUAGUCACAAGCUGACCCUUUCUUUCCGGGGCCAACUUGCCUGCACACACACUUUCACAGAAAUUCCUGAAGACGAUAUUUUUAACUUAACUUUGAGCACAUUCUCUUACCUUAAUAGCAUAAAAAGUAAUGAACAACGAUCAUGAGCUUGAGACAAGCAAGCAGGAAAAGCUCUCCCUUUACAAAAACCAGAAAAAUAUUCCUCCUUUCCUCAAUGGCUGCAGCUCUUAGAUCACUUUACUUCUGGAAAUUUCUCCUGGUAUCCUGCUUUUCCGUGGCCUCGGCUCAAGAUGAAAACCAGUUCAUCUACCAUGGCUUCAACGAAUCCAAACUGCACCUUGAAGGCUUCUCGAACAUCCAACCAAAUGGUCUACUGCAGAUGAGCAACAGUUCCCAACUUACAAAAGGUCAUGCCUUUUACCCAUACCCACUCAACUUCAAUACAUCUUCCCCUCAAUCUCUUUCAUUUUCUACAAAUUUUGUAUUUGCCAUGGUUCCAGUUAAUACUGGUGGUCAUGGCAUGGCUUUCCUAUUCUCACCGUCUUUGGACUUCAGCCAAGCUCUUGCAUCUGCAUAUUUGGGAUUCCUCAAUUCUACAAACAAUGGCCAGUCGACAAACCACAUCAUCGCAGUGGAGCUUGAUACAGUACAGAGCGUUGAAUUUAAAGAUUUAAAUGGAACCCAUGUAGGAAUUGAUGUUAACAGCCUGAUAUCUAAUGAUUCUGCUCCAGCAGCUUAUUUUUCUGAUGAAGGGUCUUACAUAAGCUUGGAUCUACAAAGUGGAAAUCCAAUGCAGAUUUGGAUAGACUACAAUGGAGAAGAAAGGUUGCUCAAUGUAACACUAGCUCCAAUCAGAGUCUCAAAACCUAACAGGCCACUCUUGUCAACACCCCUUGAUCUUUCUCAAAUUCUCUUGGACACUAUGUAUGUUGGUUUCUCUGCAUCAAUUGGCAUACUUAAGAGUAACCAAUAUAUUCUAGGAUGGAGCUUCAGCAGAAGUGCAGAAGCACAAAAUCUUGAUAUAUCUAAACUUCCUAUACUUCCUCCACCUCCUUCACUCACUCCAUCUACUUCAUUUUCACCAUUUGCUCCACCACCUGAGAAAGCAAAGGAGAAAGGACGGGGUCCAAUUAUUAUUGUUUUUCCUGUAGUAGCCGUGUUUGCGGUUGCACUGAUAACAAUCAGUGGAGCCAUUUACAUUGUGCAGAAGAAGAAAUAUGAAGAAGUAUAUGAAGACUGGGAAAGAGAAUAUGGUCCUCAAAGGUUCUCCUAUAAGGAUCUGUACAAAGCAACUAAAGGUUUCAAGGAGCUUAUCGGAAAAGGCGGUUUUGGGAAGGUUUACAAAGGCGUACUUUCAACUUCUGGCCUACCAAUCGCGGUUAAGAAAAUUUCACAUGAUUCGGAGCAAGGGAUGAAGGAGUUUGUGUCUGAGAUUGUAAGCAUGGGAGCUCUAAGGCACAGGAACUUGGUGCAACUACACGGCUACUGCAGGCGAAAGCAAGAACUCUUGUUGGUUUAUAAUUAUAUGCACAAUAAAAGCCUAGAUACAAUUUUACACAGCAGCACAAGACCAAAUCUUAAUUGGUUUCAACGAUUUCGGAUCCUCAGAGGAGUAGCUUCUGCCCUGCUUUACCUGCACGAAGAGGGGGAAAAAGUCGUGCUACAUAGAGAUAUAAAGCCUGGAAAUAUUCUUUUAGAUGCUCAUCUGAAUGGCAAGUUAGGAGACUUCGGCAUGGCGAGGUUAUAUGAUCACGGUAGCAUUCCUUGUACCACUAACCUGGUAGGAACUCUAGGUUAUAUGGCUCCAGAGCUUCUCAGAACUGGAAAGGCAGAUACUAGGACUGAUGUAUUUGCUUUUGGGGUUUGUAUGCUUGAGGUGGCAUGUGGAAGGAGACCUAUAGAGGAUGGAAACAUAAACUUGGUAGAUUGGGUUAUUGACUGCUGGAAAAGAGGAUGUAUCCUUGAUGUUAUUGAUCCGAGACUGGAGGGUCUUUAUGUCGAGGAGCAAA